rnacentral:sRNA from 1 species
AUGGGGUUCAUAAAUGACGCCAAUGGAGUUGUGUAUUUUCAAGACUUUGUUCCAUCCGUCAUAGACAGACACAUCAAGUCAUCGAGACAUCUGCCUGUUUGCAUUUUGCUUAGAGAAACUGCUAAGAAAGGAUCUAAAUUGGAGAAACAAAUCUACACUCUCUGGAAAAAUGAUUCCAAUAGUUAUAAAGACUGGCAGUUCGGAUCAUAUUCAUUUGACAAAAAUGAAAUGGUCAGGGAGAAGAGGCCUGACUUUAUGCCAGCAGUGAAGUGUUACCUGGGCCAGUCAUCCUCUUACCUGUAUGAAGGAGAAGCCAAGAGGUCUCUCAUCCACCAGUGGCUCAGUAAACUGGUUGAUAAGCAUGCCGAACAGCUGCAGGAUGCUACUUCAGACCUCAUUCAUACAGCCAUAUACACACACAAUGUCACCAUCCUGGCUUUUCCAGAUCAUCAUAACCACCACCAUGUGGAAGAAAAGGUGUUCCAGCUGAGUGAGACUACUCCAAGCUGUAAAGCUUUUGUUGUUCACCCAUAUUCCAUUCAUGCAAGUGAACUUAAAGAGAUUUACGAGGUGCCAGAUAUACCAUCUAUUCUAGUAAUAACAAAAGACAGCAAAAAUAGGACCAUGUCCCGCUUAUUUUCAAGGCAGCACAUCCAAACUAAGAUGCUUGAUGUCCACCUCCAAGCCCUACAGAUCGGCUCUACAAAACUUUACAACGAGGGGGACUUUGAGAAGAAUGUGAUGACCUUACGAGGGACACGGUACAUCCCUAAACUGAUUGUUUUCUAUGCCUAUUGGGGAGGGAAUGUGGAGGCUUACCUGUCAGCGUUUAAGAGGAGUGUGGAGGAAUUUACAGAGCUCGGGGUUGCCUUGGAGUUCGGAUUAGUUGAUCUCGCCCAGGAACCUGGCAAGAAAUUGGUUUCCAAAUGGAUUAGAAGUGAGGUUGCCAGAAAUGUUCCAUUCACCAUACUGUUCCAUACAGAUGUGAGGAAUGACUACCUAGUACAGCAUGGGCUGCUUGGUGAGCGCCCCACCCCCUCCUCUCUGUAUCAGCUGUUCCUGACCGCAUCAGUCAAUGUCACCUACCAGGACGGCAGGGUAUUCAGCGAUUACCUCCCUUAUGGCCAGACAGAUCCCUUACAGUAUUCGUCCUGGGAUGAGGGGCCAAAGGGUCAGCUCUGUCACCCCUGGUCCCACAACAAGACGGACAGUGACCCCACCCCAAGGAUGGUCCCCAAGAAGAAGGGGACAAAAUCUAAACAAGUCCCUGCCAAGAAACACUCGACUCAACAGAGCUGGCAUGACAGGCAUGGAUCUGAAAGUAUUGACAGGAAACUAAAGAAGUUCCAUGGACUUCCUCUUCUAACUCAUGAAAUGUGGUCAGAAGUGAUAGAAAAAUCCCACGCUCCAUCGCACCCUUUGUUGGGAGGAAAAGAGUGGGCAGGGGAGGUCACCAAAGUAGCCCUGGUUGUGUUUGUAAAGGCUGAUUGCCGAAGCUGCACAAACAGCCUGGAGACUUUGGUCAAAGUCAACAAAGCUCUUCACUUUCUGGAGGGUGGCUCUUUGUACCUGGUGAACUGUACGACCGAGAGGGAGCUGUGUACAGCACACAACAUCAGGGGAUACCCUUACAUCACAGCGUUCCGGGGGCAGGGCUGGCUGGGUCACUCCCACUGUGUGUCCCAAAACAGUGAGCACCUGCCCUACACACGCACCGACUACCAUGGGGUUAUUCAGGAGAAAGAAAUUAUGAAAUGGUUUGGAAAAGUAGCAGAAUCAUCCAUCAGAAAUCUUAUGUUUGAAAAUCCUGACACAAACAUGGAAGAAGACGUGAGACUGAUUGGCACGCUGAUACCCAGGUACUCCCGAUUCCUGCCCCGCCCCCCUCGCUCAAAGAACCAGGAGUACUACUUCUCCUACCAGUGCUUCCGACUAGUGUGUGAGAGGCUGUUUGGUAGAGCGGCCUGUUACUCUGUGUACAGCACAGAAAUCCCAGCCAGGGAAUAUAAGGACCCUCACCUAGAGCUUGUUGUGACCAAGGUUUGGAUGAAGAGGAGAGACGGAGCGGAUGCCGUGAUCACUCAGCUGGGCAAGUCCCUAGCCUCCCUGCUGGAGGAACAGGAAGGGUCCGCCAUCCACAGAUUCCACUCCAAACACAGGUAUAACUUUGGUCCUAACCUGAAGUGUGAAGAUGACCACGGUCUCUGUACAGACUUCAUCACUUCCUUCACCCAGGACCAUGCCCGGCUCCCUGUCACCCACAUCACCUCUGACGCCUUUCACACCGACCUAAGGUCAGAAAAUGAAGAACUUCCUGUAUUGAUCGCUCUAGUACAUCAGGAAAACAUCACAGAUAAUUCAGAUUUUCUACAGACCCUUCAUGCUGUAGCCCGUGAGUUGUAUGACCGCCUCGUGGUCGCCACUUUAGAUGUCAGCCAGUACCCUGCGUGGGCGGGGCAAUUUGUCCCCGCAAAUUACAAAUCAAUCCUCAUUGCAGAGGAUCGAGAUGUUGAGGGAAUGUACUCAUUUCCCAGAAUGUGUAUUGUGCUUAGACAUGACCACAGAAAAGCUAUCUUCUAUCCACCUCUUGGCAAAACCAGAAAAACUACAAAGUGGUUCCAGAAAGACAUUAUGAAGAAGUAUCUUGAAAAAUUUCUAAUAAGUCCUGAAAAGUACAUGAUUCAAACUGAACAUUUUUAGACACAGAGAGAGAGAGAGAGAUGUAACUAUUUUUUUUAUACACAUUAACUGUAAAGUAAACUUUUUCAGUCUUUUGCUACUAAAGUUUAUAUAUAAUUUUUUUUAUAUUU